rnacentral:rRNA from 1 species
CCUACGGCAGGCUGCAGUGGGGAAUAUUGGACAAUGGGCGAAAGCCUGAUCCAGCCAUGCCGCGUGUGUGAAGAAGGCCUUCGGGUUGUAAAGCACUUUCAGUGGGGAAGAAAGCCUUGGGGCUAAUACCCUCGAGGAAGGACAUCACCCACAGAAGAAGCACCGGCUAACUCCGUGCCAGCAGCCGCGGUAAUACGGAGGGUGCGAGCGUUAAUCGGAAUUACUGGGCGUAAAGCGCGCGUAGGCGGUCUGAUAAGCCGGUUGUGAAAGCCCCGGGCUCAACCUGGGAACGGCAUCCGGAACUGUCAGGCUAGAGUGCAGGAGAGGAAGGUAGAAUUCCCGGUGUAGCGGUGAAAUGCGUAGAGAUCGGGAGGAAUACCAGUGGCGAAGGCGGCCUUCUGGACUGACACUGACGCUGAGGUGCGAAAGCGUGGGUAGCAAACAGGAUUAGAUACCCCUGUAGUC